ACAGGAGCAGGGAAGCCAGAAGAAACCAAUCCCUGCAACCAGAGCUUCCUGUGGAGUCCAUGCUGAGUUCUCCCUCAGAAAGGCCACACAAGGAAGUGGACAUUGACCCGUCCUUAUUAGAUCCUGAAUCCCACCAGAAAGAACCCUGCUAUUUUGUGAAAGACCACAGCAGAAGGACUGGUGAGUGAAUCUCUCUGCCAGCCCUGUUAUUAGUCUAAAAUAAGCCUUGUCUUGUAGGUGCCUGACCUGAGGAUGUGCACACUGAGUAUUAGUGACCUUGAGGGAGGAGUCGGCCCUCACUGUCACUUCUCAUGGAUGACUAGCAUGUCAUUGCCUGAGCUCUUGAGGAUCUCAGAGGCUCCACUGGACGUUAUGAGGACACUCUGUAGAGGACAAAGAAAUAGCUGCUCUUCUACCUUCCAACUACAGACAACCACCCAAGUUACCAGCAAAAUCUGCGGGAUCUACAGGAGGGCCCCCUUGUGAAAGCCUCCCAAUAACCCGGAAACUCUGCGUGAGCAAGCUAAGAAAUUAUUGGAAAAGAGCCGUGGGAAAUGAAUGUGCUUCUCUUUCUGACUGGAUCAUCUGAGAAGGAUCAUCCGAGAAGUGUCCAGGGACCCCCUGUCCCAAGACUCAGUGAAAUCCAGUCUGAUGCUCAAACACCAAACGGAACAACCAACUGUACCUAAACCUAGAAGAGAUGGAAGAAGGCAGAAGAGAUUCCUCCAGAACCUACACUGUGGUUCUAGUACACCCCAGAAAGCCCCAGAGAUCCAGAAAGGACUCCAGGAAAGUAUGGAGACUGGACACAUGGGACAGAAAGCUCAGCAAAGGACCCAGUUACAUCCCAUCAGCUGAUUUUGCCAUGGACACCCAUGGAAGUCAAGGAAGAGAAAACUGUCUGUACAUGAAAGCCUGCAGAAGUGUGAAAAACAAAGAAUAGGGAAUCCACUGGAAAGCUAAACACAGUCACCAUUUCAGCUGACCCCAAAUAAAACACUAUAAUGUUCA